rnacentral:lncRNA from 1 species
AAUAUAUCAAACGAAGAGAGAAGAUGGGUUGUUAUUGGUGUAUGUUUUACAAAAGUUGUUGCGCCUGCCUUAAGAAAAGUUCUGGCAAGUGAGCUGCAAAACUGGUACAAUCUUUUGUGUAAACCGCCCAAUGAUAUUGACAAACAAGUUCGCGGAAAGUAUAAGAGGACACUACCACCUUCAGGAUACCAUCUAAAUUAUAAAAGCAUCAACAACAAUGACAAAUCGCGUGGUGUUUAUGACUUUGCGGUAAAAGAUCCGUUGUCUUUAGCAAAGUUGUUUAUGCAACCUCAUAUGGCAAAGUGUACUGGUUUUGAUGACACGAUGGAUAUGUCAGCAAUUUUGGCAGUGGUGUGUAAUGCAACGCCAUUUUCUUCUGCUGCAGCUGAUGCCGAGAUAGUCAGGAAUAUCAGAAACAAGUGGGCCCAUUGUAACUUUUCAGAAUGGACACAAACAGUAUUCACUGACUCAAUCCAAGUCUUAAUAUCAUUCAUAAAAACGAGUAAUUUACCAAAAGCUGAUGAAAAAGCCGUGUAUGAUGAUCUAGAUGACUGGGAGAAAAAAG